GACGAACGCUGGCGGAGUGCCUAAUACAUGCAAGUAGGACGCAGUUGCGAACGGGGGAGUAAGGCGUGGGCAACUGGCUAUCAGAGGGGGAUAACUAUUGGAAACGAUAGCUAAUACCGCAUACUAGUAGAUGGACCUGCGUUGUAUUAGCUAGUAGGUAGGGUAAUGGCCUACCUAGGCGACGAUAAAUAGCCGACCCUGGAGGGUGAUCCGUCACACUGGGACUGGGACACGGCCCAGACUCCCACGGGAGGCAGCAGUAGGGGAGCCUCGGGAAUGGGGGGAACCCUGACCGAGCAACGGCGCGUGAGUGAAGAAGGUUUUCGGGUCGUAAAGGUUUUUGGUUAAGGAAGCGGUACUUAACCAGAAAGGGACGGCUAACUACGUGCCAGCAGCCGCGGUAAUUC
rnacentral:rRNA from 1 species